AUCCAACUGACGGGUCCCAAGCGGGAUGAAACGCGUGUGCUGGAU
rnacentral:hammerhead_ribozyme from 1 species